rnacentral:rRNA from 1 species
GACGAACGCUGGCGGCGUGCUUAACACAUGCAAGUCGAACGGAAAGGCCCUGCUUUUGUGGGGUGCUCGAGUGGCGAACGGGUGAGUAACACGUGAGUAACCUGCCCUUGACUUUGGGAUAACUUCAGGAAACUGGGGCUAAUACCGGAUAGGAGCUCCUGCUGCAUGGUGGGGGUUGGAAAGUUUCGGCGGUUGGGGAUGGACUCGCGGCUUAUCAGCUUGUUGGUGGAGUAGUGGCUUACCAAGGCAUUGACGGGUAGCCGGCCUGGGAGGGUGACCGGCCACAAUGGGACUGAGAUACGGCCCAGACUCCUACGGGAGGCAGCGGUGGGGAAUAUUGCACAAUGGGCGGAAGCCUGAUGCAGCAACGCCGCGUGCGGGAUGACGGCCUUCGGGUUGUAAACCGCUUUCGCCUGUGACGAAGCGUGAGUGACGGUAAUGGGUAAAGAAGCACCGGCUAACUACGUG